UUUUUCAAAUUUUCAGUUUUUGCUUUUUGGGUGUUUUUAAUACCCCUGGCUCAAGGCGGUUUCAAAAGAACUCAAAAAGUAAAAACUGGAAAUUUGUUUGCUUGUUUAUAUUUAUUCCGAACUUAAGACAUACAUCUUAUCUGUCCACGCCGUGACGUAGAAUGAAAUGCGCUGAGAAACAAUUGGUUUAUUGGACCUUUUCAAAAAAAAAAUCCUUAAAUUAUAUAACGUGAAAAAUUGUCGAAAAUCCUAAGUUUUAACUUUUGGAAACCUGUUUCUCGGCAAUGGUUUGGUUUAUUUUGAGAUAUUCAAUGAUUCUUCUGUAAAAUUUUCCGGGAAACACGAUGGUGAUCAAAUAAAAAAAAUAUCAAAAAGGGAAUGGGUCAAAAUCACAUUUUAACGCAUAGACUGUUAUGAAACAAUCUUGGGAGGCAUUCGAAGCUUAUUUUUUGUUUAUUGAAUUCCUUAGAAAGGAUUCUAUAAAAUGCCACCAGAAAAAAGUGUUUUGGCCUAAAAAUUGGAAAAAACGAGUAAAAAAAUAGAAGAUUGUCAAAAAAGAGGGCGUUGCCAAAAAUAGCGGGAUGGUCCAAUCGGCAGAAAACUUGAGAUGUCUGUUAAAUAUCGAUAGGUGAAGGUCGAGUCCAAACGUGUACUCAGUUGACUUGGAACGACCCAUGCUUUUCAGGAUACCUUUCGUGAAUUGGAGUUAAGUUAAGUUUUAAGUUAACAAAAUGUUUUUUAAAUGUUCAUGGCAAGUCACCUGCAAUGAAACAACACGAAAAUAUAGUGAUUUCCACAUUCUCACCAGAUAACGUGAUUUAUACUUUCUAAACAAAAUGCACCAAAUCCGGGAUAUCAGUCAGAUUUAUCAAAACCUACAAGCGCGUAACAGUAGAAAAUAAGCUGAUUUGACUUUUUCAGGGUUGCUUCGAGCAACAGGUGAACAGAAGCUUCCAUCAAGUUUAGUGUUAUAUUUGUUCGACAUUUACAAAACUAGAAAUGUCAGCAACAGCUGAAAAUGUCACUGAACACUUGCAUUUGCGCAUUAAAAUUGGUUGCUGCCCCAAACGUCUUUAAAAAAUGCACAAAACAAACACUGAUAAGAACCUAAUCGGAGCGUUCAUGGACCAAUAUCGCUGCCAAAUUUUUAACGAUAAGCUCUCUUUUCUCGGUGGGAAUGGCGUGUUUCGCAACAGAAGUACACUUUUUUCAAAGCAAUGCAAAUUGUGCUGAAUUUAAGCAACUACCACAAUAUGAGAGCUUCCGCUGGUUUCGACCAAACUAUAAUCGCGUUGCUUGGAAAGAGCUGCAGGAUGAAAAUAGAAACUUCUGUGCCAUAUGCCGAGCAUACAUUAAGUACAAAAACACACAAAAAACUCUCGACUGUCAACACUGGUUCCACGCAAAGUGUAUCAAUCAAUGGUUUGAAAUAAGAAAAGUUUGCCCAAUAUGUCGGUUGGCGGUUGUUUAAAUAAAUUUCACCUUUAGAAAUA